AUUGAACGCUGGCGGAAUGCUUUACACAUGCAAGUCGAACGGUAGAGGGGGCAACCCCUCGAGAGUGGCGAACGGGUGAGUAAUAUAUCGGAACGUGCCCAGUCGUGGGGGAUAACGUAGCGAAAGUUACGCUAAUACCGCAUACGAUCUAAGGAUGAAAGCGGGGGAUCGCAAGACCUCGCGCGAUUGGAGCGGCCGGUAUCAGAUUAGGUAGUUGGGGGGGUAAAGGCUCACCAAGCCAACGAUCUGUAGCUGGUCUGAGAGGACGACCAGCCACACUGGAACUGAGACACGGUCCAGACUCCUACGGGAGGCAGCAGUGGGGAAUUUUGGACAAUGGACGCAAGUCUGAUCCAGCCAUUCCGCGUGCAGGAUGAAGGCCCUCGGGUUGUAAACUGCUUUUGUACGGAACGAAAAGGUCUCUCUUAAUACGGGGGACUCAUGACGGUACCGUAAGAAUAAGCACCGGCUAACUACGUGCCAGCAGCCGCCGUAAUAC
rnacentral:rRNA from 1 species